ACAAGAGUGAAACUCUGUCUCAAAUAAAUAAAUAAAUAAUAAAAGCAAGCAUUACCAACAAUGUGGGAGAAUAUGAGUGGAGUAUGUAUGUGGUCCCAAAGUUGGGGUAAGUGGGAGUGAGGAACCCCUGUAACUCCCAUCUUCAUUUCUGCCUCUUCUCAUUGCACCAACUUCCCCAACUGAAACACCUUAUACUGAUAAUAUCCCUUCCUGGUUUGAUUCAUAAAACAAAAUAAAGUUUCUCCAGUGCUUGGCAUAUUCAUCAAGACAUCAGCCCCAGCAUUUACAUUUUAGUGCUUCCCUUUCUUUACUUGAUUUCCAGUCUCUCUCUCUCCCUCUGUCUCUCUCUCUCUCUCUCUCUCUCUCUCUCUCUCUCUGUCUGUCUGUCUCUCUCUCACACACACACACGCAGGCUGAUUGGUCUUUGAUUUUCAGUAGAAAUUGUUGGUAUUUGUAGCUGUGCUUGAUCACAUAGGUGAAAAGAUAUACUUACAGAAUAAGAACUACCCUAUGACCGUCCUUCUUUCAUGUUGCUUAAAGCUAUACUUCAAAGGAAUACAGCACCACUUUAAGGAAAGACUCAGGCCUGAGGACCUAGAAGCCCAAGUUCCAAGUUUUGGGGCUGAGCUCUGUUACUAACUUCAGUCUGACCUUGGACAAGUUUCUUGUCUCUGUGAUCACAUUCCAUCUUUAUUAGAGGAUUUUGAGGAUUCCUUCUAUUUCUGACAUGAAAUAAUUUUAAACAGACUUGUUCCUUAGAUGCUCUUUUAGAACAUCUCUGAACCUUCCCAAUUUAAAAAAAUAACUUGUUUGAGGUGGCUUCUCUCUGUUCAUCAAACAUCUUUGCUUCCAUUCCUUAUAUAGGUCCAACCCAAGAGACAACACCUGUAGGAGGGCCUCGUCCCACAGUUUUCUUGUCACCAGCACUGCUUUUGAUCCAGUCAACUUGACUGAGAUUUCUUUCCUGGGUUCUGUGCUUCAGAGGACCCUACUCUGGAUCCCCUCUGGUACCCACUCUCCCCACAGAGUAAUAGGUCUGUAUGGCCAAGGGGAUUGUUCCACCUGGAACCUCCUUCCCUCUUCUAAAUAAAGUUCCCCUUACUCAGGAAACCCAUAGUUCCCUUGCUGUGAAGUCUGAACCUGCUUCCAGGGGUUGCUUGAGCUUCUGCCCUUCUCUUGUCUUUUUAGGGGUGGAUUAUACUGCCCAAAAUGUGGUCAAGGGGCAGCUGUGUAUGGUGUUUGGAGUUGUGGAUAGAGCUUGGAUAUGUGGGGUAGAGUCUGAGCACUUACAAGUCUCUGUGAGGUCAGUAUGGACAGAAGGGUGGGUGUUCCAUUGGAGCAGGGUGAGAAAUAUCCAUUGGCACAUUCCCAUUAAGCUCACAAAUGUUGAGAAUGAGCCUACUUGUGAGAUACACAAUUUUGCAAAGAGAGAUAUAGAGCAGUCAAGAAAAGUGGCUCUUCAAAGGUUCUAUGAGUUACCUGUGGCCACAUAGGAGGACCCCUCUGUCUGAAGCGAGUGCGCAGUAAAAAGAGGAUGACUCAUCUUUGGCUCUAGCUAGAUUAAAAUUCUGGACACAAAGGUUAACAUGAAUGACUUCUUUUUGGUUUAAGUGAAAAAAGAUAUUCGUUCCUGCAAAAUGUAACCUUAGCCAAGGACCUUAGAGAUGGCUUGCUCUCCUGAGCAGGGACAGGAAUUCCUGUCCUAAAGUUGGAUGACAUCUGGCUGGAACCAUAAGAUGUGUGCUGUGACAGAAACCAGAGCAGCUGGCAAUCUGGGAACUGGAACUGUCUUCGUCGAUUUUGAAUAUUUGGUCACCUUAUCUGAGAUUACCCAUAAACUCACUUUUUUUAAGUCUCUCUGAAGGCAGCUUUUAUUGUGUAAUUUAAAAAGAAUUUUUUUAUGUUUUUUAAUGAUCUGGGUUAAUUUUAAACAAGGAUUUAUGAAAUGUGAGCUGGUGCCAGGAAAACGUGGAUCAAUUGUUGCUUCCCUAGAGGAAAUAGUGGUCUUUUAAUAAUAGAUCUUAAUAAAGUGUCUAUAUUUCUUUUAGGACUUAAAAAAUAGACAAAGCAAAAUAUGGGUUAAGUAAGGUUUUGUGGUUUGCUUGAAAACUAAAUUGUACAUGGCCUGAAUAAGAAAAAAAAAAGUUCUAAUUAGACUCUUGGUUCUAGCAAGUAGAUACUCAUUUAGAUGUCCUUAAGAAAAGGUGUUAAUUAUAUGAGUAUCAUAUCACUUAGGAUUAACAUUGGCUAUAUGUGACAGACAUCCAAAACAGUGGUGGCUUAAAUUAGAUAGUACUUAUCUUUCUUGUAAAACUCCAGAGAUAGGCAGUCCGGAACUGGCCUGGCUCCACGUCAAUGGACCAGCAUACUUUUCUGCUGCAGACUACUAGGAUUUCGGUCAAUACAUAGAAAAUCUAGCCAACCGAAAGGAAAGGGGAGGAUAAAUGGAAUUUCCCCUUCCUUUAAAGAUGUGUCUAGGAAAUUGCAUACCCCACUUCCUCUGACAGCACAUUAAACAGAAUAUAAUCAAAUGGCAGAGCUUACCU